AAUCAACGCUGGCGGCGUGCCUAACACAUGCAAGUCGAACGCGAAAGCCCCUUCGGGGGCAAGUAGAGUGGCGUCCGGGUGAGUAACACGUGGGUAAUCUACCUCCGGGUGGGGAAUAACUCGCCGAAAGGCGGGCUAAUACCGCAUGAGCUGGCAACAGGAAAGCGGGGGACCCGCAAGGGGCCUUGUGCGAUUGGAGCGGCCGAUGUCCGAUUAGCUAGUUGGUGGGGUAAAGCCUACCAAGGCUCGAUCGGUAGCUGGUCUGAGAGGAUGAUCAGCCACACUGGGACUGAGACACGGCCCAGACUCCUACGGGAGGCAGCAGUGGGGAAUUUUGGACAAUGGGGGCAACCC
rnacentral:rRNA from 1 species